AUUAAACGCUGGCGGCAUGGCUAAAGCAUGCAAGUCGAACGAGAAGCAAUCUUCGGAUUGUAGACAGUGGCGAAAGGGCGAGUAAUGCAUUUCUGACGUACCCCAAGGUUCGGGACAGCCCGUGGAAACGCGGAUUAAUACCGGAUAUCUCUCUGACCUCCAAAAGAUCAGAUAGAAAGGCCUCGGUCGCCUUGGGCGCGGGAAAUGUCCUAUCAGGUUGUUGGUGGGGUAAUGGCCUACCAAGCCGAAGACGGGUAGCGGGUGUGAGAGCAUGACCCGCCGCAUCGGGACUGAGACACUGCCCGGACUCCUACGGGAGGCUGCAGCGACGAAUAUUCCGCAAUGCGCGAAAGCGUGACGGAGCAAUGCCGCGUGAAGGAUGAAGCAUUUCGGUGUGUAAACUUCUGUCAGGUCUUAGAAAGUACUGAUCAAGACCAAAGGAAGGGCCGGCUAAGUUCGUGCCAGCAGCCGCGGUAAUACGAACGGCCCGAGCGUUAAUCGGAAUCACUGGGCUUAAAGCGUACGCAGGCGGACUGGAUAGUACCUUGUGAAAUCCCUCGGCUCAACCGAGGAACUGCUUGGUAUACUGCCAGUCUUGAGUGUGGUAGAGGCGGUCGGAACGAUAGGUGGAGCGGUGAAAUGCGUAGAUAUCUAUCGGAACGCCAAAGGAGAAGUCAGGCCGCUGGGCCACCACUGACGCUCAUGUACGAAAGCGUGGGUAGCGAACGGGAUUAGAUACCCCGGUAGUCCACGCCGUAAACGAUGUGCACUAGACUCGGGAGGAUCUGACGCCCUCCGAGUCGCAGAGAAAUCAUUAAGUGCACCGCCUGGGGAGUACGGUCGCAAGGCUAAAACUCAAAGGAAUUGACGGGGGCUCACACAAGCGGUGGAGCAUGUGGCUUAAUUCGAAGCAACGCGAAGAACCUUAUCCUGGAUUGAACUACGGCGGAUUAGUGGUGUGAAAGCAUCAUGACGCAGUUUACUGUGGAACGUCGAUAGGUGCUGCAUGGCUGUCGUCAGCUCGUGCUGUGAAGUGUCGGGUUAAGUCCCUUAACGAGCGAAACCCCUGUCGUUAAGUUGCUAACAUGUAAUGAUGAGGACUCUAACGAGACUGCCGGUGUCAAACCGGAGGAAGGUGGGGAUGACGUCAAGUCCUCAUGGCCUUUAUGUCCAGGGCUGCACACGUGCUACAAUGGCGUAUACAGAGCGACGCGAGACCGCGAGGUGGAGCAAAUCGCAAAAAGUACGCCCCAGUUCGGAUUGGAGUCUGCAACUCGACUCCAUGAAGGUGGAAUCGCUAGUAAUCGCGUAUCAGCUACGACGCGGUGAAUACGUUCCUGAGCCUUGUACACACCGCCCGUCAAGUCAUGGAAGCCGGGAGUGCCCGAAGCCGCCCUGAAUCAGGGGUGUCUAAGGUAAGUUCGGUGACUGGGACU
rnacentral:rRNA from 1 species